UACGUAGGGUGCAAGCAUUGUCCGGAAUUAUUGGGCGUAAAGAGCUCGUAGGCGGCUUGUCGCGUCGGAUGUGAAAGCCCGGGGCUUAACUCCGGGUCUGCAUUCGAUACGGGCAGGCUAGAGUUCGGUAGGGGAGAUCGGAAUUCCUGGUGUAGCGGUGAAAUGCGCGAUAUCAGGAGGAACACCGGUGGCGAAGGCGGAUCUCUGGGCCGAUACUGACGCUGAGGAGCGAAAGCGUGGGGAGCGAACAGG
rnacentral:rRNA from 1 species